ACGCUCGACACCUACGGAGGCAGCAGUCGGGAAUAUUGCGCAAUGGAGGAAACUCUGACGCAGUGACGCCGCGUGCAGGAAGAAGGUUUUCGGAUUGUAAACUGCUUUAGACAGGGAAGAAAGGAAUGACAGUACCUGUAGAAUAAGCUCCGGCUAACUACGUGCAGCAGCCGCGGUAAUCUGAGCGGGCUGGCAAGGC
rnacentral:rRNA from 1 species